rnacentral:snoRNA from 1 species
UGGACCGGUGCUGAGAAGGCUCCGGGAACCACAGAUGAUGGUUAAUCCAAUUCUGUGCACCUGAGGUCCAUA